rnacentral:rRNA from 1 species
UGGGAGGUUACCACUUUGUGAUUCAUGACUGGGGUGAAGUCGUAACAAGGUAACCGUAGGGGAACCUGCGGUUGGAUCACCUCCUUACCUUAAAGAA